AUUGAACGCUGGCGGCAGGCCUAACACAUGCAAGUCGAACGGCAGCACAGAAGAGCUUGCUCUUUGGGUGGCGAGUGGCGGACGGGUGAGUAACACGUAGGAAUCUACCCAGUAGUGGGGGAUAACCUGGGGAAACCCAGGCUAAUACCGCAUACGCCCUGAGGGGGAAAGCGGGGGAUCUUCGGACCUCGCGCUAUUGGAUGAGCCUGCGUCGGAUUAGCUAGUUGGUGGGGUAAGGGCCCACCAAGGCGACGAUCCGUAGCUGGUCUGAGAGGAUGACCAGUCACACCGGAACUGAGACACGGUCCGGACUCCUACGGGAGGCAGCAGGUGGGGAAUAUUGGACAAUGGGCGCAAGCCUGAUCCAGCCAUGCCGCGUGGGUGAAGAAGGCCUUCGGUUGUAAGGU
rnacentral:rRNA from 1 species